UUACCUUUCUAGCAGGGAAGAAGCAGCCGGAUUUUCUUUGGUUGUGACGGUACCUGCAGAAGAAGCACCGGCUAACUACGUGC
rnacentral:rRNA from 1 species